UACGUAGGGGGCAAGCGUUGUCCGGAUUUAUUGGGCGUAAAGAGCGUGUAGGCGGCCCGGUAAGUCCGCUGUGAAAGUCGGGGGCUCAACCCUCGAAAGCCGGUGGAUACUGUCGGGCUAGAGUGCGGAAGAGGCGAGUGGAAUUCCAGGUGUAGCGGUGAAAGUGACGUAGAGUAUCUGGAGGAACACCGGUGGCGAAGGCGGCAUCCUGGACCGACACUGACGCUGAGGAGCGAAAGCCAGGGGAGCAAACGGG
rnacentral:rRNA from 1 species